rnacentral:lncRNA from 1 species
UAUUCCAAAUUUUUAUUUAUAAAAUUAAGUUUAAGCAGCGAAUAAUUGACCAUAUUUAGAAAAUAAUAAAUUAUUCAUCGUUUUCAUAUAUUUUUCACACUGGAACUUCGAAAAAUAUAUAAAUUAAACACUAAUUUUAUUUUAACAUGAUUAAAAAAUAGUAAAAAUUUACCGUAUUUAAAAAUAAAUUAUUCACCAUAUAAAAUUAAUUUUAUAAAUAAUUUUUUAAAUAUUAUUUUUAUAAUUCUAAUAUUUUAAAGUCUGUAAAUAAAAAGAGUAAACUUUAAAUACCACCCUUGUGGUUUCAAACUUUCUCAUUUUAAUAUCAUGUGGUUUAAAUUAAGUAUAUCAAUUUAGUGUUUUGUAGUUUCAUUUCUCUCAUUUUGUCAGUUUCUUCGUUAAUAUUGUGUUAAAUUAUAUACCAAAAACUUUAGAUACCCACUUAAAUUUAUUGAAUACUAUAAAAUACUAAAUUAAUAUACUUUAAAUUAUAAAAUACUAAAGUGAAAAAAUACUACAUGACACAUAUGGUAUUUGAAGUU